UACGGAGGGUGCAAGCGUUAUCCGGAAUCAUUGGGCGUAAAGGGUCCGCAGGUGGCAGUGUAAGUCUGCUGUCAAAGAAUGAGGCUUAACCUUAUCAAGGCAGUGGAAACUACACAGCUAGAGUACGGUCGGGGUAGAAGGAAUUCCUGGUGUAGCGGUGAAAUGCGUAGAGAUCAGGAAGAACACCGGUGGCGAAAGCGUUCUGCUAGACCUGUACUGACACUGAGGGACGAAAGCUAGGGGAGCGAAUGGG
rnacentral:rRNA from 1 species